GAUGAACGCUAGCUACAGGCUUAACACAUGCAAGUCGAGGGGCAGCAUGGGAGUUGCUUGCAACUCUUGAUGACGACCGGCGCACGGGUGAGUAACGCGUAUCCAACCUGCCCAUGGGUCAGGGAUAAACUCCCGAAAGGGAGCCUAAUACCUGAUGUUGUGAGAAGAAGGCCUCUGAUUUUCACGAAAGACUUCGGUCGCCGAUGGAUGGGGAUGCGUACGAUUAGGCAGCAGGCGGGGUAACGGCCCACCUGGCCAACGAUCGUUAGGGGUUCUGAGAGGAAGGUCCCCCACACUGGUACUGAGACACGGACCAGACUCC
rnacentral:rRNA from 1 species